GUCCAUGCCGUAAACGAUGAAGACUGGCUGUUGGGCAUCUACUGAUGCUUAGUAGCGAAGCUAACGCGUUAAGUCUUCCGCCUGGGGAGUACGGUCGCAAGAUUAAAACUCAAAGGAAUUGACGGGGGCCCCGCACAAGCGGUGGAGCAUGUGGUUUAAUUCGACGCAACGCGAAGAACCUUACCUAUCCUUGACAUCCUCGGAAUCUGCUAGAGAUAGCGUAGUGCCUUCGGGAGCCGGGAGACAGGUGCUGCAUGGCUGUCGU
rnacentral:rRNA from 1 species